AACGAACGCUGGCGGCAUGCCUAACACAUGCAAGUCGAACGAGACCUUCGGGUCUAGUGGCGCACGGGUGCGUAACGCGUGGGAACCUGCCCUUAGGUUCGGAAUAACUCCCCGAAAGGGGUGCUAAUACCGGAUAAUGUCUUCGGACCAAAGAUUUAUCGCCUUUGGCUGGGCCCGCGUUGGAUUAGCUAGUUGGUAGUGUAAAAGCCUACCAAGGCGACGAUCCAUAGCUGGUCUGAGAGGAUGAUCAGCCACACUGGGACUGAGACACGGCCCAGACUCCUACGGGAGGCAGCAGUGGGGAAUAUUGGACGAUGGGCGAAAGCCUGAUCCAGCAAUGCCGCGUGAGUGAUGAAGGCCUUAGGGUUGUAAAGCUCUUUUACCCGGGAUGAUAAUGACAGUACCGGGAGAAUAAGCUCCGGCUAACUCCGUG
rnacentral:rRNA from 1 species